AUUGAACGCUGGCGGCAGGCCUAACACAUGCAAGUCGAGCGAGCGGCGGACGGGUGAGUAAUGUAUGGGGACUGCCCGAUAGAGGGGGAUAACUACUGGAAACGGUGGCUAAUACCGCAUACUAUCGGAUAACCCAUAUGGGAUUAGCUAGUAGGUGGGGUAAAGGCUCACCUAGGCGACGCUCUCUAGCUGGUCUGAGAGGAGGAGCAUCCAAACUGGGACUGAGACACGGCCCCGACUCCUACGGAGGCGUCAGUGGGGAUUAUUGCACAAUGGGCGAAGGCCUAAUGCAGCCAUGCCGCGUGUAUGAGGAGGUCCUUAGAGUUGUAAGGUACUUUCAGCGGGGAGGCGUUACCCGCAGAAGAAGCACCGGCUAACUCCGUGCCAGCAGCCGCGGUAAUUC
rnacentral:rRNA from 1 species